CCCCCCCGUCCCACCCUGCCCCCAACUCAACCUUCUGCGCCGGUGCAAUCGGCGUAGGGGUUGCCUUUGGGAAGAUUCUUCGGCUUCAAGGUGGAGACAGACCCGGGGUCCUUAGGUCUGUUCGCCACUCAGGAAUCCUUGUCAUUUGAGGAUGUUACUAUGGGCUUCACCCAGGAGGAGUGGCAGCAUCUGGACCCUGCUCAGAGGACCCUGUACAAGGAUGUGAUGCUAGAGAACUACAGCCCUGUCGUCUCAGUAGGAUAUUACAUCCCUAAACCAGGAGUGAUCGUCAAAUUGGAACAAGGAGAGCAUCCAUGGAUAUUAGAGGAAGAGCUCCCAGGCCACAAAUACCCAAGACAGGUUUCACCGUGUUGGUUAGUCUGGUCUCGAACUCCUGACCUCAAGCAACCCACCCGCCUCAGCCUCCGGAAGUAUUGGAAGUACAGGCGUAAACUACUGCACCUGGCCACAAUCAAUCUCUUGAACUUACUCUAACAAACUAAAGGAAAUUUUAUAUCGUUUGACCAACAUCUCCCCAACCACCUCCCAACCCCCACUGCAGCCUCUGGUGAUUACUGUUCUAUUCUCUCCUUUAUGAAUUCAGCUUUUUAGAUUCUGCAUGUGGUAUUUGUCAUUUACUUAAUGUCCUCCUGAAUGUAUAUUUUCAUCAUACAGUAAAUUGCUGCUUCAUCUAUGAGCCCUAUCGUAAGGCUGGAUGCCUCCGACAAUACCAGUGCAUGAUUGGCAGCGUUAUUGCAGAGUCACUUCUUAUCUUGGUCAGACACUAAGAAUGCCAGUAGCAUUCCUGGAAUUGCUCUUCAAAUGGAGAAGUUUUUAGCAUUUGAGGAGAGAACUAGCCAUAGAAACUUAGGAGUUUGCACUGUAGCUCUCCCUAUUGUGGUUUCCAGAGAUUCCAGACAGCAUUCUUAACUAACAAAACCACUGGAUCUGACAUCUUCUAUGGCUCAACUGGUAGGGUGGCUCACAGCAUAGCCUGAUCCUUUCUGAAAGAGUCCUCUUUGCCUCAUAACAUAGUAAAUGGGAUGGGACUAUAUUGCCAGGAGUGGUACACGCAGCCUCCAAAGUCCAAACCAGCCUUUCAGUCAGUCACCCUGCCUCUUUCUUAGUAGUAAUGGCGCAGGUGCAUUGACUUGUCCUUUGCCUUGGAUGGGUGUUUCAUCAGGUCUCAGAACCCUGUAUCUCUGGAGGCUUCACUGAUGUGCUAAGCCACUGACUAUAUUUAACCGCUAUUCCCCACCCUCUGCUGUUCUUGUUUCUGACCAUAGCAUCCAGAGUACUUGCCGCUUGCUGUAUCUCAGAUUGAUAUAAUGUCAUUAGUAGGUGGAUCCUGAUACUCUGCAAAAUUGCAUGAUAAUCAGGGUCCUUGAGGGAUAUGGUGUGAUGGAGAAAAGGAGAGUUAACAUAGUCAUGGGACAAGACAAUAAAUAUGUAUUGCUGUUCUCCCAAGUGAGGUAGUGUUGAUCUUUUUCAGUUACAUAAGCAAUGUCCUUGCUGGCUACUGCCUAUCUCACUCAGAAGCAUAGCAAUCUGUGAGCCAACGAGCCAUCACCUCAGAGGCCUGGAUUCGAGGCCCUGUAUGUAGUAUACUGGUAUUUCUACCCACUUUGCUUUUGACUGUUAGUGUUGCCUAAUAGAAUGGUAUCAUCUCUGCUGGCAUUUGGGAGGCAAGUUCCACGCGCAUCUUAUGUCACUGAAUUGUUGCCGAUAGAAGACAGUCACCUUACUUGUGCACUCCUUAUCACUCUCGUGUCCUCUGGGCCCUGUGGUAACAUGUCAGUCAGGAGUCCUCUACCCUUAUGUAAUAAAACCAUUCUAAAAUGUCCAUGACUAGCGCCAUCUGACCCUCACCUCAAUAUCGUCCUCAAUUUCAUUUUUUUAGGGUUACUUUAGCCAGUGAAUUGAUUUUCAUCUGAAGGGCCUUUACAAUUUAACUUGUUUUAUUAUUUGUUCCAAAGUAAGAAAUAAAUAAUGGACCACACAUUCUGGUAAUUUUUAGCCAUGGUUUUAUUCUUGUAACAUAUUUAUUCAUGAUUAAAGGUAUAAAUAUAGAAAAUUGUCUUCUCUGCGAUUUGAAGAUUGAUGUUGAUUGAUGUCUCUGCGUGUACUUAGUUUUCUGAUUAUGUAAUAUGUACAAAUGUUGCAGUCUUUACCUUUGGGCAUAUGACUGUAUAUCGGACAUGAAAUAUCUGGUAAUCUCAAUUUAGAAUCUGUGAGGGGAAAAUUCUAGCCAAGAUCCAGAUUGUUCAGUAACUUUUUUUUUUUGAGAUGGAGUCUCACUCUGUUACCCAGGUUAAAGUGUUGUGGUGUGAUCUCAGCUCACUGCAGCCUCCUCCUAGGUUCAAGCAAUUCUCCUGCCUAAGCCUCCUGAGUAGCUGAGAUUACAUGUGUGUGCCAUCAUGUCUGGCUAAUUUUUGUAUAUUUAGUAGAGACGAGGUUUCACCAUGUUGGCCAGGCUGGUCUCCAACUUCUGGCCUCAGGUCAUCUGCCUGCCUCAGCCUCCCAAAGUGCUGGGAUUACAGGUGUGGGCCACAGUGCCCAGCCUAUGUAGUUACAAUUUCAUAUGAUUAGUUCACAGGUAUUUUAAGGUUUAGAUUACAUUGUCGUCAUCAUUAGUGUUAGCUGUAGAACUAUAGCUAAGAAAUAUGAAGUUUUUUGAAAGUAUUGUGUAUUAGUUAUGUAUUAAAAUUUUUUCUGCCAUGUUUUGACAUCUUGCUGGCUUGUGAGAGACUGCCCCUCCCAGGAUUAGCCAUUUCCUACACGUGGCAAAGGGCUCAGCCUGGAGCGUAUCUUUGAUUUGCAAACCAACAAUCCCAAGGCUCAAUCACUUCUUUAUCUAACUCUCCCAUUUCAAGCCAGUUGUCUCCUAUACUAGAGCAUCCCAGGGUCAGGUGCCAAAUGAUUAGAGACCACCCCUAGAGCCUGCUGAAGUUAUUCAGACUAGCCCAACUUAAAUUGUUCACCGUGACCUGUGUUGCCUUUU